UCCAAAUCCGGCACCUCAAUCCCACGAUGUCUCACCACGAUAUCAACUCCUUAUCCACGAACUCUUUUGCCCUGGAUUCCAAUAACAUGAUUUCACAUUUUUAUCAAAUGAGUUCUACUUUUACAGUAUAUAGUUUCUGUUCUUUCUCCAUCGUGUGCAUAUCAAACAGCAAUUGUAGAUUACAAGAGGUGAUUGGAUAUAAUGGCGGAUGAAAUUAAUUUCGUUAGUGAAAUUAACAGCACGCCAAUGAAUUGGAAGUUAAAGGUUCGUAUUGUUAGGCUUUGGAAGAAUCUGAAUCGCGACAAGCCUGACAACCCUUUUUCGAUUGAGAUUGUUCUGAUGCAAGACAGAGCAUUAGAAUUUGGUAUAGAAUGGAAUUCCAAGGCUUUAGAUCAGAAGCUUUACAAUUCACUUGUAUUAGAACAACUCAGGUUUUUGUGUCAAUGUGCUGCAAAGGGAACCAAAUGAUGCGAAAUUUGUGUGCAAUAUUGAGCUGUAACUUUGGCUACUUUGGUCCGACAUGGAGUGUGAAGAUCAGAACUUUCUGUCAUUUAGUGCGACACCUUGUGCGAGACGCAGUAUUUGACACAAAAGCUAAUGAGAAUAUUGGAUCUUACCAACGGGAGCACCAACAUGAAGCUAAAAUUGCAAAUAAGCAAUAAAAUGAGCUAUCAAAGUGAAAAAGAAAAUGGAAUUUCUCAUGGCUAUAAAAACUCUGAAAGAGGACAGAGAUCAGAGCAAAUGGUUGGUCCCCAGAUAAAUCAUCAGUCUUUGGAAGUUCUGCAGAAGAUGGUAUCCUGAAUAUCUGGGACCGUGAGAAGGUAAGAAAAGUUACCUUACGUAUGCAACAGAGAAUUUUGCCUCAGCUGUAAAGGAACAUGUAGCUUCUGAUGAAGGUAUUUUCGGU